ACAAACUUGGUCAUUUAGAGGAAGUAAAAGUCAUAACAAGGUUUCUGUAGGUGAACCUGCAGAAGGAUCAUUAGAGAAUUUUUAGGGAUUGAUUUCGAUCUUCCCGAACCUUCUUUUUCAUCCUAAACACCUGUGCAUUUGUUUGUUUGUGUGGAAACACAUAAACAAACAAACAAUUUAUCACACAAACUCUAUGUUUUUUUGAACGUAAAAAUAUUUUAACAAAUAUACAACUUUUGACAACGGAUCUCUUGGUUCUCCCAUCGAUGAAGAACGCAGC
rnacentral:misc_RNA from 1 species